UUUACCAUGCAGUCGACGCCCGCACGGGAGUGGCAGACGGGUGAGUAACGCGUGGGAUCUACCCAUCUCUACGGAAUAACUCAGGGAUACUUGUGCUAAUACCGUAUACGCCCUCCGGGGGAAAGAUUUAUCGGAGAUGGAUGAGCCCGCGUUGGAUUAGCUAGUUGGUGGGGUAACGGCUCACCAAGGCGACGAUCCGUAGCUGGUUUGAGAGGACGACCAGCCACACUGGGACUGAGACACGGCCCAGACUCCUACGGGAGGCAGCAGUGGGGAAUUUUGGACAAUGGGGGAAACCCUGAUCCAGCCAUCCCGCGUGUGCGAUGAAGGCCUUCGGGGUUGUAAAGCACUUUUGGCAGGAAAGAAACGUCGCGGGGUUAAUACCCCCGCGGAACUGACGGGUACCCUGCAGAU
rnacentral:rRNA from 1 species